UACGGAGGGUGCGAACGUUAAUCGGAAUCACUGGGCGUAAAGCGCGCGUAGGCGGUCUGUUAAGUGGGAUGUGAAAUCCCCGGGCUUAACCUGGGAAUUGCAUUUCAAACUGGCCGACUAGAGUACGGUAGAGGGAGGUAGAAUUUCCUGUGUAGCGGUGAAAUGCGUAGAUAUUGGGAGGAACACCAGUGGCGAAGGCGGCUCACUGGACUGGUACUGACGCUGAGGCGCGAAAGCGUGGGGAGCGAACAGG
rnacentral:rRNA from 1 species